rnacentral:rRNA from 1 species
CCCUUAGAUGUUCUGGGCCGCACGCGUGCUACACUGAGUGGAUCAGCGGGUCAGGUUGCGCGAAAGCGUUUCCUAAUCUUUAAAUCCGCUCGUGAUGGGGAUUGACGGUUGCAAUUUUCUGUCAUGAACGAGGAAUACCUUGUAAGCGCGGGUCAUCAUCCCGCGCUGAAUACGUCCCUGCCCUUUGUACACACCGCCCGUCGCUCCUACCGAUUGAACGAUCCGAUGAAAACUGUGGAUUGAGAGUCUGAGUGGGUUCGCCUACCUCAACUUUCGAGAAGCGGUUUAAAUCUUAUCGUUUAGAGGAAGGAGAAGUCGUAACA